rnacentral:rRNA from 1 species
GACGAACGCUGGCGGCGUGCUUAACACAUGCAAGUCGAACGGAAAGGCCCUGCUUUUGUGGGGUGCUCGAGUGGCGAACGGGUGAGUAACACGUGAGUAACCUGCCCUUGACUUUGGGAUAACUUCAGGAAACUGGGGCUAAUACCGGAUAGGAGCUCCUGCUGCAUGGUGGGGGUUGGAAAGUUUCGGCGGUUGGGGAUGGACUCGCGGCUUAUCAGCUUGUUGGUGGGGUAGUGGCUUACCAAGGCUUUGACGGGUAGCCGGCCUGAGAGGGUGACCGGCCACAUUGGGACUGAGAUACGGCCCAGACUCCUACGGGAGGCAGCAGUGGGGAAUAUUGCACAAUGGGCGGAAGUCUGAUGCAGAAACGCCGCGUGCGGGAUGACGGCCUUCGGGUUGUAAACCGCUUUCGCCUGUGACGAAGCGUGAGUGACGGUAAUGGGUAAAGAAGCACCGGCUAACUACGUG